GUGCUUGUCUCAGCAGCACAUAUACUAAAAUUGGAAUUACACAGAGAAGAUUAGCACAGCUCCUUCGCAAGGGUGGCAUGCAAAUUUGGAUAGCAUUCUAUAUUUUU
ensembl:snRNA U6 U6 spliceosomal RNA